rnacentral:rRNA from 1 species
GAUGAACGCUGGCGGCGUGCCUAAUACAUGCAAGUCGAGCGAACAGACGAGGAGCUUGCUCCUCUGACGUUAGCGGCGGACGGGUGAGUAACACGUGGAUAACCUACCUAUAAGACUGGGAUAACUUCGGGAAACCGGAGCUAAUACCGGAUAAUAUAUUGAACCGCAUGGUUCAAUAGUGAAAGACGGUUUUGCUGUCACUUAUCGAUGGAUCCGCGCCGCAUUAGCUAGUUGGUAAGGUAACGGCUUACCAAGGCAACGAUGCGUAGCCGACCUGAGAGGGUGAUCGGCCACACUGGAACUGAGACACGGUCCAGACUCCUACGGGAGGCAGCAGUAGGUAAUCUUCCGCAAUGGGCGAAAGCUUGACGGAGCAACGCCGCGUGAGUGAUGAAGGUCUUCGGAUCGUAAAACUCUGUUAUUAGGGAAGAACAAAUGUGUAAGUAACUAUGCACGGCUUGACGGUACCUAAACAGAAAGCCACGGCUAACUACGUG